AAAAAAGUGUUUGUGAUUGUUCCAGAAGAAAUGAAACAAAAGAUACGGUAU
rnacentral:sRNA from 1 species